rnacentral:rRNA from 1 species
AGUGGCGAACUGGUGAGUAACACGUGGGAAACCUGCCCAUAAGAGGGGGAUAACAGUCGGAAACGACUGCUAAUACCGCAUAGGUCAAGAAACCGCAUGGUUUCUGGAUGAAAGGAGGCUUCGGCUUUCGCUUAUGGAUGGUCCCGCGGCGUAUUAGCUAGUUGGUGAGGUAGAGGCUCACCAAGGCGAUGAUACGUAGCCGACCUGCGAGGGUGAUCGGCCACACUGGGACUGAGACACGGCCCAGACUCCUACGGGAGGCAGCAGUAGGGAAUCUUCCACAAUGGGUGCAAACCUGAUGGAGCAAUGCCGCGUGAGUGAAGAAGGUCUUCGGAUCGUAAAGCUCUGUUGUGAGAGAAGAACAGGUAGAGUAGUAACUGGCUCUAUUUUGACGGUAUCUCACCAGAAAGUCACGGCUAACUACGUGCCAGCAGCCGCGGUAAUACGUAGGUGACAAGCGUUGUCCGGAUUUAUUGGGCGUAAAGCGAGCGCAGGCGGUCUUUUAAGUCUGAUGUGAAAGCCCACGGCUCAACCGUGGAGGGUCAUUGGAACUGGAAGAC